UACGUAGGAUGCAAGCGUUUGUCCGGAAUUAUUGGGCGUAAAGAGCGAGCAGGCGGUCUGGAAAGUUGGACGUGAAAAUUUUAGGGCUUAACCCUAAAGGGUCGUCCAAAACUUCCAAACUAGAGUGCAGGAGAGGAAAGCGGAAUUCCCGGUGUAGUGGUGAAAUGCGUAGAUAUCGGGAGGAACACCAGAGGCGAAGGCGGCUUCUGGCCUGUAACUAACGCUGAGGCGGCGAAGGCUG
rnacentral:rRNA from 1 species